ensembl:lncRNA
GCCAAAGCAGUUACAUUUUCUAACAUUUUUACUUUAACAAACUCACACCAACAGGAACUUCAUCAAUGUUGCUCCCCUUUAGCUCUGGGCUGCCCUCAUUGUUUAGAGAAUGGGCGUUUCUCUAAGGGGAACACGUGGGAUGUUUAACGGUAAUCAGUUUACAUAUCGGUAUGUUUUAAUCGUUUUAUAUAUAUAUAUAUAUGUUCCAGAAUGGUGUUUAUAUGAUUUGUAAAAUUAGGUUAUCAUUUUUUAAUGUUUGUUUGUUUUCUUCCUACCCUGUCUACAUCUGUGGAGCCGUUACAUGUGCUGUAACAAUAGACAAGCAAGCAGAAUAUCGGGGCUUUGAGUGUUUGGUUUAUGGACCUCUCUCUGUUUGUGUCAAUAGGCAUCUGUGGUUAUUCGUUCCGUCCUGUUUGUUUAUAGCGCCCUUUUGUCUUAUCUAUGGUAUGUGUUUGUGUUGCCUGCCCGGCAGCCCCCCCUUCUCCACACUGCUCACCCCCUGGUUUUAUCCACAACACUAUAAAGUACACCCGAGGCCGUGCCUUUCUGACUUGUGAUCCAGACCUUUCUGCUUUCAUACACGCAGGAAAGGCCUGUUGUGUCGUCAUAACAAGGCUUCGGCGUGCAGGCAGAACCGUCCAAUGUACAGGGGCCGUCUGGUUCUGUUCUCAACAGGGGAGCUGGCAGAACACUUAUCUUUUUGUUGCGUGUUACACUUUUUCUGAUGCAACGUUAGCUAGGGAGUAUAUUCUCUGAGAAUCACUAUAUAUACUUAAGGUACUUUUAUAUAGAGGUACCUUCAUGUAGGAGGUUGAACCGGGGUGCGUGUCGAAACAGGAGAAACCCACCAGAAGUGGCCGUGCCAUUUUAAAAAGAACAUUCAAAGUGUAUUUCCGUAUCGGUUGUGCAAUUUAACAACCUGAAAUCUGGUUUGCUGUGUGAUGAAGAGUUUGGGCAUCUUAUCAUUGUUUGUCAUCUAGCUAUUACUAGUUUGGGGCUCUUGUAUUAUUAUGCUCAUUCAUGUGUUUUGAAUUUAAAAAUAACUCCAUAGCACUCCAAAUAUAUUUUGUUGAUUACAAUGUGUUUUCUGUUGUUUUAUCCUCUACUCCAAUAUUUUGUUUCAGAGUUUGUCUUUGAACCAAUUGUCCCUAAGGCGGAACACACUACGGUGUGUGUGUGUGUGUGUGUGUGUGUGUGUGUGUGUGUGUGUGUGUGUGUGUGUGUGUGUGUGUGUGUGUGUGUGUGUGUGUGUGUGUGUGUGUGUGUGUGUGUGUGUGUGUGUGUGUGGUGUACACUUUAAACCACUUGCUUUACCCUCCAUCUGAUUUGAGCCAACGUCGUUGGUACGUGGUUGACAAUAACAUGAAACAUGAUAAUAUUCUGACAUGGUUGCUAUCGCCAACCGGAUAAUUGUUCUUUCAUUGUCUGUUUUUAGUUUUGUUAAUUUCAAUGAAGGAAAGAUUUGUACGAUGUAAGGACAGCUAAUUUAGAAAAGGGAUUCUGUAUUACACGAAUAAAAUCCAUUCGCUCAUCGAUCAUCAUCAUCAUCAUAAUAACCACCGUCAUCAAUAUACUUUGAAAUUAUGCACUGAUUUAGCCAGUGCCCUCGACUCAUGUUCCUGCCUUAUGGACAGUGGUUUUCAUCCAGAAAAACAUCCCCUCACCAGGGUGGGUUUGAAAUGAAGGCUCUUUAGUUUGGAGCAAAUGUUGUGUAACAAGUUGCACUGCAGUAACAGUAUUGCAGAUUCAUGAAGGGACUUUAUUUUGUUGUCAAAAGGUUUACCAGCAUUUGUGUUUGUUUGUUUGAGUCUGUGCACUUGACUGAACGGUCACCAUAAUCAUGUUGUCAAAUGGUUGUGAUUUAGUCAUCUUAUUGUUCCCAAAGGGAUUUAUCUGAACGGGGCGUCGCCCUGCAUCAGAUAACAUUGUACAUUUGUGAUGAUUGUAAACCACUAAGGAAUUGUUGUCAUGCUUUAGCCUUUGUACACUAUGUUCAUCUUGGGAAAGGUACAACUCUGCACAAGGUUUCACAGAUGCUUAAUUUGACUGUACAAAAUGUCCAAAGAUUUAUUGAUUCAAGGUUUUGUCGCGGCA